rnacentral:lncRNA from 1 species
CUUUUGUAAUCAGCAGCUACAUCUGGCUACUGGGUCUCUGACGGCAUCAUUUGGCUUCUGUUACAGUGCCGUGAGCAAGAUCAUUUGGGCAGUCUUUAAUAAUGAAGGCUUUAUAUUGAGUUAUACAUGUACACACACACAUACACACAGACUUUUGAGGUAUAAGACUUCCAUUAUUAGCUGGGUUUAGGAAACUGGCUGUCUGAAUGAUGAAGUAUAUUUAUUUGCUUUUGAUAUCAGAAGUCGGUAGAAUCUGGAUAUUCUUACAGUCUGCAUUAGAUACCAUCUACCCAUCCACCCACUCAUAUACCUGCCUACCUGACCAUCCAUACAUUCAUCUAUGUACACAUCUCUUUACUUUUAAAGGGUGUUUUCAAAAUAACAGGAUGAUUAAAUAAUGACAACUUGAUAUGAUAUUUUCAGGUAAUUUCAUUUGUACUGAGUCCCCAAACUUCUGACUUGAGGUUGCCUUUUUUCCUUAUGGUUGCCUUUUUUCCUUGUGGUAGAGAACACAUAACAAUUUUGACAUCUUGAAUGCAGCAGGCAAUUCUUUUGAAACAGUUCAUGUGGAAAACUCCUGGGCUGAAUAUCCAGGUCUGUGGCAUGAACCUGGCAUACAAUGUAGAUUUCUGUGUUUAUUUGGCAACAGCUACAUUGUCUGCUGGGUUUCAGGCUACCUGGAAACAUGUUCUCCACUGGCUGUCUCAUCAGUGCUUUACCUUUAAUAUUGCUGAAAAACUUCCAGGAGGCAUAAAUCACUGGAGUUUAUACCAUUGGACAGAGUAUAAAGAAAGCACCCCAUGGAAGCUGAUCACCUUAGCACAGAACGAUUUCAUUAUGAUUUCACCCACAGUAGUGUCACAUACCAGCCUAUUAAAAUGAAUGAAUCAGGGAUAAGGUAUAAUGUCAUCUUUCUUUUGUCUGCCACAACUGUUAGUGAUUGGUCACUUAAAUGUCACUAUGAAUUGUUAUUUGAUUUCUAUUUGUAAUUACUUUCUUCAGAAAGUGUAGCAACCUAAUCACAUUGCCCUACUCCUUCAUUGUAACUCCCAUUUUAGCUUCUCACUGACCUGCAGGAGCAUGUUUUUAUUUUUUCCCCUCGAUUUGCCCUUACCCCGUAACAUUUAUGAUCCCUCAGUCUCCCCAGAACCUGAAUCUUUCACUCUCCCCUGGCAUCCCACUCAUUCCCUGAAAGUGAAUUCUAGAAGUUAAAUAAAGUCGACUAUUGACCACUCUUCACUAUCUUAUGAAACUGGAAGAACCAUCUAGAACUAAACACCCUGAAGAGAAUGAAAGUAGCUUCUGGAAAACACAGGUUUUACAUUAAGUUUUAUUUGCCUGCCCUUUGUGAAAAAAUUUAAUCCUGUAAACAUCUGUUCAAAGAAACUGUCAAUAUAGACUAUAUAAAAUUCUCAAUAAUAAAAGAAUAAACCUUUUAAAGGGAAUUUAUUAAAUCUUGAUUUAUAUGGAAAUUUUUAGUAAGACACCAUGUAUUUUACAUUAAUGUGGAUUAAAGUAGAAAACAAAUACAAGGAGUGCAAAGAUCAGUGUCUGCAUGUAAUACUCAAUUUUAGUGGUAACAUUUGUUUUUGUCACCCCAUGUUGAAUUCAGUCAAAAUAAAGCUAAUGGAAUGGACUAUUAUGUGUGUGUGU